CCUACGUGAGGCAGCAGUGAGGAAUAUUGGUCAAUGGGCGCGAGCCUGAACCAGCCAAGUAGCGUGAAGGAUGACUGCCCUAUGGGUUGUAAACUUCUUUUAUAAAGGAAUAAAGUGAGCCACGUGUGCCUUUUUGUAUGUACUUUAUGAAUAAGGAUCGGCUAACUCCGUGUCAGCAGCCGCGGUAAUACGGAGGAUCCGAGCGUUAUCCGGAUUUAUUGGGUUUAAAGGGAGCGUAGAUGGGUUGUUAAGUCAGUUGUGAAAGUUUGCGGCUCAACCGUAAAAUUGCAGUUGAUACUGGCAGUCUUGAGUGCAGUUGAGGUAGGCGGAAUGCGUGGUGUAGCGGUGAAAUGCUUAGAUAUCACGCAGAACUCCGAUUGCGAAGGCAGCUUACUAAACUGCAACUGACAUUGAUGCACGAAAGUGUGGGUAUCAAACAGGAUUAGAUACCCUUGUAGUC
rnacentral:rRNA from 1 species